rnacentral:rRNA from 1 species
UGGUGGAGCGAUUUGUCUGGUCAAUUCCGAUAACGAACGAGACUCUAGCCUACGAAAUAGUUCGGGGACCCCCACAAAGGGGCCCCGCUUCAACUUCUUAGAGGGACAGGUGGCGUUUAGCCACACGAGAUUGAGCAAUAACA